GACGAACGCUGGCGGCGUGCUUAACACAUGCAAGUCGAACGGAAAGGCCCUGCUUUUGUGGGGUGCUCGAGUGGCGAACGGGUGAGUAACACGUGAGUAACCUGCCCUUGACUUUGGGAUAACUUCAGGAAACUGGGGCUAAUACCGGAUAGGAGCUCCUGCUGCAUGGUGGGGGUUGGAAAGUUUCGGCGGUUGGGGAUGGACUCGCGGCUUAUCAGCUUGUUGGUGGGGUAGUGGCUUACCAAGGCUUUGACGGGUAGCCGGCCUGAGAGGGUGACCGGCCACAUUGGGACUGAGAUACGGCCCAGACUGCUACGGGAGGCAGCAGUGGGGAAUAUUGCACAAUGGGCGGAAGCCUGAUACAGCGACGCCGCGUGCGGGAUGACGGCCUUCGGGUUGUAAACCGCUUUCGCCUGUGACGAAGCGUGAGUGACGGUAAUGGGUAAAGAAGCACCGGCUAACUACGUG
rnacentral:rRNA from 1 species